rnacentral:rRNA from 1 species
UACGAAGGGGGCAAGCGUUGUUCGGAAUUACUGGGCGUAAAGGGCGCGCAGGCGGCCGAUCAAGUCAGAUGUGAAAGCCCCGGGCUCAACCUGGGAAUAGCAUUUGGGACUGGUCGGCUAGAGUUCGGGAGAGGAGAGUGGAAUUCCCAGUGUAGAGGUGAAAUUCGUAGAUAUUGGGAAGAACACCGGUGGCGAAGGCGGCUCUCUGGACCCGAUACUGACGCUGAGGCGCGAAAAGCGUGGGGAGCAAACAGGG